rfam:TPA: Bos taurus chromosome 11, whole genome shotgun sequence.
GUUCCCGCGCCCGGCCCGGAGCGCGCCUCUGCCGAGGACCUUGACCUCCCACGGACCUCGUCGCCUCACUUAGCUCUCUCUGACCUGCUUUUGAACCCGUUAAUCCUGUCCUGAACUCUCGCCCAGCGGCGAUCCCUCGCCCCGGCCCCGACGCGCUAAUUCCCGCUGACCCAGCCGCCCAGCCGUCACUCUCUGUUCGCCCGGCUUUGAAGCGCGCCAAGGGCUGCGCGCCUUGGGUCGUCUGGGGCGGUAAUGCGCGAGCCACCACCGCCCCGCAUCGCUGGCACCCACGCUUACGCGUCCUCUGAACGCCACGGCCCGGUGUCGCGAGCAUAUUUUUUCCUUCUCUUGCUUUCCCUUGUCUCCUCUUAAAUUAAUUCGUUUUUAAAAGAAAUCUAUCAGACCCACAAGAAUCAAAAUCUCAGGUAACACCCCAUACUGGCGACGCUGUGGGGAAGCCGGCACUUGCACAGGAAGCUGGCAAGCAGCGAGGACACGGAAAGCGUAAGGCGGACCAGGCUGCCAGGAGUCAGCGCCAAGGCAUGGGAGAAAGCAGAAAAGGCAGGACCUAGAAGAGAGGACAGAG